rnacentral:tRNA from 1 species
GCCGGCUUAGCUCAGCGGUAGAGCAGCGCUUUUGUARAGCGAAGGUCAUCGGUUCAAAUCCGUUAGCCGGCU